GAACAACUCCUGAAUGGAAACUGGAUGAGCAUAUGUAUAUAUAUUUAUAUAACAAUUUCUACAGCAAUAGAAAAAAAUUAUAAAAGUAAUGGAGUAAUCGCUUUGCAAGUUAAAAUAUUUUUCAUAUUUCUCUGCAUGAGGACAUCCAGCGUCAGAUUUUUCCCCAUAGGAAAGCAUUGAUUCAUUGCUUUCCUACGGGGAGGUCUGAUGUGCAUUUGCCGCGCAUGCGCAUUACAACCCGCUCAUGGAGGGGUGGAGCUUCGACCCAGCGCCAGGGACGUUUGUUCAACCCUUUAUUUACCGGGAAGGCUGAGGGAUCGG